AAGUCGUAACAAGGUUUCCGUAGGUGAACCUGCGGAAGGAUCAUUAACACGUAUCCAACGUUAAACAACCCUGUGAACUUUAAGUCCCCUCUUGCAGCCCAUGAGGAACAGCAAUCCCGGUAAAUCAUUGCCAAACAGUUUUGAUUCGGGACCUCUGUCCAUGGAAGCAGUGGCAUGGCUUCCCCAAGCAGUUAGUGAAUGACAGUGUCACUGACUGUGUAAGGAUAACGCCUCACGGUUGCUAGAGGUCGAUCACCGACCGGCAGACAUGUCACAGGGUCACCACGCCCCUUAAUCACUCCACUUGAAAAUGCCCCGCCUAGUGGUAACGCGCUAGGUAAAAAAAACCGAACAACUGUUAACAAUGGAUAUCUUGGUUCUC
rnacentral:misc_RNA from 1 species